GAGCUGAGUGUUUGGGUCUCCCUUCCUCCGCUGGAAACUUCUCUGUGGCAGAAGGCCCCUUUGUUGGGAGAGGCGAGGCUGGCUACAGCAGCCCUAAAUACCACAAAGUUUUAGAUCUCCUCCCCACCCUCCACCUGCCAUUCAGUAGUCGAUGCUAAAACCACAAGAGGCUGUCUUUUCAUAACACUACACGUUCCCGAUGCUGAAGACCAAAUGGCUUGUUUCGAGACUCUUUGGUUCUGUUUAUUUCGGGUGUCUCGGCUUCUCAGGUAUCCUGAGCACAUAUGUAGAAGGCCCACUGGCCGAGGGGUGAUGCCGGAAAAGUCCCGUCUGCAAGUUGCCAGGUUAGGAGAGAAAGCUUGGCUGGCGCGAAAGGUUGUUUGCGGGCAGGGUUGGGGGUCAGGUGUGGACUCCCAGUUCUGGCCUUUGACCUCCCUGGCUCCGCCGAGCUGUGUGCUCUCAGGUGAGUCACGUAACCACUCUGACCCUCAGUCUCCUCCUCUGGAAAUUGGUAACCAUGCCGUUUGCAGGGUUACUGUGAAGUUCGAGCGUGUGGAUGUAGGGAGUGUGGCGUGUACCCAUAGUAUAUGCUCAGUGAACAUUACUUCCCCAUCUCUUAGGAAAGAAAAGUUGGCUUAGGAAUCAACUUUAACUAAAAUGUUUUUGUUGUGUUAAGAAUGGGCCAAAAGUCACAAAAUUAUUUAGAGAUUGUUUUCACUGAGUUCAAAAAAUCCAGAAGACGAUUUAAUCAACAGUCUGUUUGCCUCCUCACAGCCGCACGGAUGCACUCCUUUCUGAAAAUGCAAAUCAAACAAUUUAAGUUCUCAAGUGUGUUCGAUUCCUUCACUCACUCCUUCACUUCCUCUGCAACCAAGUAGUCAACACCUACUCCGUGUGAGGGCUGGUGGAGAGAGGGGCUUGGGGCUGUGGGAGCCGUAAGCUCAGGUGUGUAGAUCCCUGCAAUUUACUAACGGUGACCUUGGGCAAGUCAUCACCACGCCGCAGCCCUCCGGUGGGCCCUUUGCAUAAUCAGGGUGAUAUUCCCCUUGCAGGGCUGUUGGGGAGGAUUAAAGAUCUCGCGCACAAGGUGCAAGGCGUUUUGGUGCCAUGAGCGAACGGGAGCAGCCACGUUCCUGAGACGUGGUCCCCCUGCCCUUCGGUGACUGACGGUUGUGGUGACAGCCUUGAGAGUGCAUCUCUCCUUCUGCUUCUGGGCGAGGCAGGUGGGAAAGUGGCCUCGGGGGCUCCCCGCAGGAAGCUGACCCAAGGACGUUGCUUUGGGUGGCCCUUUGGGUGGUCUGUUUGUAGCAGACAAUGGAAAACCAAGCAGAUCUCCAAAGUGCUUUUGAAGACGUUCCCUGGGGGGCCUGCAGCACUGCCCAGGAGCCCAGGGGCAGGUUCUUGGGAGCCUGGCUGUCUGGGUGCUGGGCUUGGAUGAGUGGGAGCAGCUGCGGGGAAAGGCAGAACUCGUUCCUCCGGAGUGUGUUUAUCCUGCUUUUCUGACCUCAGAGCCCAACCAUCCUAAUGAUUUUUAAUGACUCUAAUGUGCCUCGCGUCUCCACCGGACCCACUGGCCAUACAACCAAGUGCCUUUUUCCCUUGCGCCCAGCGGAAGGUGGUCAGAUGUCAGCUGGGAUUACACGGUUGGGCUUAUUGUCAGACAAGCUUUAGCCCGGCACUCAGCGAGAGCUCACGGGACGGCUCCAGCCAAUCCUCUCCAUGAAGCCAGGUGGAAAGAGGUGCCAGGGAACUGGUACCAGGUUGCAAGUCAAGAAGACGUGGAAAUGUGGGGUUCCUAGAGGAGAAGUGACACGCCCAGCUUGCAGCCCUGCCCUCCCGGCUUGGGACUGGAUGUGGUGGUGCCACCCAGCAGUGAGGCGUCCCUAUACGUCAGAGCCCGGGUUUGAGCUCUGCUCCUCUCUCCGUGUGGUCUGUGAGGAUUGGGUAAGGCCUGGACAUGGCGGUCAGAGCUCAUGUGAAGAGGCAAAUUACCGAUACAUGAGGAUUUAAGAAGCAAGCCAGCACCUGAAGGACGUGGAGAAAGGUCUGCUGUGCAGCAUCACAUGGGGCUUUGUCCGACCCCCCAGCCCCCCAACGUGUGUGACCACUUGUCUUUUGUUGGUUUUCCAACCCCUGGAAAGUUUUGGAGUUUUCCAGCUCUCCUCCCCUCUCUUUCCCUCCCCUCCUCUUCCUUCCUCCCCUCCCCUCCCCUCCCCCCACUGUCUUCCAGACCAGCAGGUGGCAUGGACUCUGGUGGACAGGGCUCUAAGGUGCUGAGGAGGGACCUCCCCAGUCUCAGCUGAACACAUAUUUGUUUCAGUUCCUGCCUCGGGCCUAGGGCUGGGGUAGACUCUGUCCCUUGUGACACCUCUGCACAGGGGCACAUCCCUGUCCUCAUUUCCCCAAUGAGUUCCCAGAGGCCCGAGGCCCGGGGGGGACCGUGGCGCACCCUCCACCCCCACCCCCCUGCAAACUGCUGCACCCCAAAUGGGUGCGCGUGGACUUGGGGUUCGCUUGGGCUGCAUCUCCUACUUCCUGCUGACCAGCUGGGCCGCCCGACCAGCCGUUGCCCGCAGGCUCACCCUGAUGCUGAGACCUGCCCUGUUGCGUGAGGACAGGGCGAGAGGAGGAGGUGAUUGUUAUCUCUACACAAAUGAGCCGGCCAGUCCGCACUUGUGCUCACCCUUGCCGCAGCAACAGGAAAGACGGGAUCCACACUAAUUGCCCUCACGUCUCUUUCUCUGGUCAGAGCUGUUCCCGACUGUCAGAGUGACACAUGGCUCCCAACACAAGGCCCGUUGCAACACUUUCUAAUUUUUUCCAAAAGAUUUUGAAGGCAGGAAGAGUUUCGGUUCCGGUGAGGUACCCAUGGCUGGCUCUGAUCUCUGAUGCUAGGGGACAAUUCUUGUCCCCGCGAUAUAGGGUUGCACAUCCUUUCCUCUGGCUAUAAGGCCUGUUAUUUUUAACACAGAAUUUCUUCCAGGAUCUUCAAACAUCUUUUCACCAGAUAGUGAUGAUUCAUUUCUGGACAGGACAGCAGAACUAAAAGAUCAAGUUUUGCAGUGCCUCUUGGCCCGACUCCCCUUUUAUUUCUCCAUCUUCUUCCCUUUCUUGCUCACCUACCCCACCCACCUUGCUCAGGCCGUCUCUCCAAGCCCCAAUUAGCAGAUGGGAGGGGCCUCUUGGUCAAGGACGCUGGUUGUGGGUGGUCCAGGUGGUUGAGAACAUGUUCUCUCUGCAUCACCAGCUCUGGGGAGAUGGGCUGUUGACAUACAUGGGAAAAAUCUUCUUAGGAGAUUUCAAAGCACUGGAGACUCACCUGUUGUUGGGAGCUAACAAGAAAAAAGAGGCGAAAUAUCCCAAAGGCAGUAUUUGGACAGGAUCACCCGACCUCACCCCCUCCUAGCAUUCAGAUUCCAUGAUUGCAGGCUUCCCUGGACCAUUGGAGUUGCUGCUGGUGGUGGGGGGGUAGGGAAAGGAACAGCAGGGGGAAGACACAGCUUCCUCUGUGCUAUGUGCUUGUUUUGUGCCCACAGAUUUUUGUCACUCUGAGCCCAUAAUGAUGUUGACCAUGCUAGCAAGCCCACUUGGGGGGCACUAUCUGCUGGGAACUGUUCUCCGCACUUUGCAUGCACUAACUAAUUUAAUUUUCAAAGCCAUCAUUAAGUGGGGACGAUCGGUAUCCAGUUUUACGGUGGGUGGGUUUUGAAGCACAGAGAUGCAAAGUAACCUGAUCAAGCUCACACAGCUCAGAUGAGAGCCGGGAAUCAAACCGAAAUAGUCUGACUCCAGGGUCAGUAUUUUCAGACUGCACGUUACUUAGUAGGGACAGGCUGUCCCAGACUUUUGCGGCUGCUGGGGACAGGGGGCUGUGGACUGGGGGGUGCGUGAAUAGUGCACAUGGAGACCUCUACUCUAACUGAACGUGGUUCUCCCCAGCAAGGGUCCAUGGGCAAGAUCGGGAGCUGGGAUCCGUCUAUCUCAGGCCACGGGUGGUAGGGGGCACAUGUGUUAUUGUGGCACACAAGCGGACCUCCGCCCUGGGGAAAUGACAGAAUGGGGCUCAAGGCAAGAGGUCCACAAGAUGAACCUGAGGUGGAUGGGGACAGACCAUUAUCGGCUGUUGUUACUGUUUCUUAGCGAGGAGCUCUGGUUGUGGAUACUGGCAGUUAUGGUCAUUACACGACAGAUUCUAUUGUGCCGCGGGUGGCUUUCCGUCUCUAUCGGUUUGCCCCACGGAGGCCUGGUUGUGCAAUCCCUGCCCAUGUCCCAGCCAGCGAGCCAGAGAGCGGGUGGGUGGGUAUGUGGAACAGAGGUACUGUGACUACCUGGGCAAAACUUGGCUCUGAGUGUAGGCAAAAGCGAAUGGAGUUCUGUCUGGCCAGGUGUGUUUCCUGAUGUGCAUUUACACGCACUUCUCUUUGUUUCACCUUAUUUCAUUUUAUUUCCCUUCUAUUGAACAGUGUCUCCUCACCACGGUCUUCUGGAGCCCACACUGGUUUCCACUUGCCUGAGGAUGACGCGAAGACUGAGUGGCCCCACGGCCCACCACAGGUCACACAUGUGAAAUGAGGAUCUGCUUUGCCUUUAUUUGCCAGUGGGGUCCCCACUCACUGGUCCUGUCUCCUUAGGGGAGUGGACCCUCCUCUCCCUUUUCCUGCCUUUCUCCUUCAGGUCUUCAGCAGAACGGGGGUGGGGGGUGGGGACAGGAGAAAAAACAGCCUCUCAGACCCCAAAUACCUUCUGCUCCACGAUUUCAAUCACACUCGUGCUGAGUUCCGAACCUGCCUGGCUUUCCAGAGUGCUGAGCCUGGAGCUGAGGAUGGCAGCCCCUUUGGCGUCAAAAUCUGGUUUCCUCUUGGAAAAAGGCUACUUCCUGAUUGCUAGAGAGAGGAACGUCUUUAAAAGGCUCUGCUGUUCCUGUUGGCCUGCACACCAUUGGCCUACGACAUUUGAUGAUUUAAGGGUUGAUGGAUUAAAAACAUGUGGUCUGGGUUUCCCUUGAAUGCAAAUGCAUGUUGAACUUAAGGAUCAGUUAAAAGAAAGAAUAAAAUAAAGAAGGAAGGAAGGAAGGAGGAAGGAAGAGAAGAAAGAAAGAGAAGGAAAAGAAAGAAAAGGAAAAGAAGGAAAGAGAAGGAGAAUAAAGAAAAGGAAAAGAGGGAAAGAAAGAAAAAGGAAGAAAAAGAAAGAAAGGAAAGAAAAAGAAAGAAAAAAGAAAGGAAGAAAAGGAAAAGAAGGAAAGAGAAGGAAAAGAAGGAAAGAAAGAGAAAAAGAAAAAGAAAGAAAAAGAAAGGAAGAAAGAAAAAGAAAGGAAAGAAAAAGGAAGAAAAGGAAAAGAAAGAAAAGAAAGGAAAGAAAAAGAAAAGAAAGGAAGAAAAAGAAAGGAAAAGGAAAAGAAAGAAAAGAAAGGAAAGAGAAAAGAAAGGAAAGAAAAAGAAAGAAAAAGAAAGAAAAAAGAAAGAAAGAAAAGAAAGAAAAAGAAAGAAAAAGAGAAAGAAAAAAAAAAAGAAAGAGAAAGAAAGAAAGAAAGAAAGAAAGAAAGAAAGAAAAAGAAAGAAAGGAAAAGGAAAGAAGAAAGGAAGAAAGUCAAAGAAACAGUCCAGGUUUUUCAUAAUGCCCUGACUUUGAAAAAUAGGCCAAGGUUUUUGCAGAGUACAGGCUCCACGUGGGGCCUCGCGGGCACUCUGGAAAAGUCUUCAGUUGGCCUGGAGGCAGCAGGGACUUGUGUGGGCCCCGAUCCCUCCCGGCUCUGGCCCCAGUGUGGCCUCGUGCAGCUCGGCACCCUGGGGAGACCUCAAGUUCGAGGAGAGAAAUAAAGCUACAACUUCCUGUCUUCCGGAGACCCCCUUCCACCCUAAUUUUGCCCAAAGUAUAUCACUCUCCGGCCAGGCAGCAUCAACCGAGCGUCUAACGUGCGCCGGUGUCCCCGGUGGGUUCCGCGAUGAGGUCCCAGCGCCUGUUCACGGUCCUCCCGCUCUGACCGAGCAGCUCCCGGUUCCAGGCUUUCCACCUGCGCCCUCCCCGACUCCUCCAGCCCGCGGGCCCUUUCGCUGCCUCUGGCCGCCCCAAUCGUAUCCGUUCACACCCACGGUGUUCCCUCCAGGGCUGUGCUCCGUCAACCCCCCGGGGGCGACGCUGAAGGGCUCACAGAGAGCCGGGCCUCGUCGGGAUCCCGGGCGCCGAUGGAAUCCACGGCUGCCCCCCUUUGGACUCCACACGUGGCGCUGAGCGGAAGGCCGUUGGCGUUGGCUCCCUCGGCUUGGCUCCGCCCCCUCCGUUUUGGAAGGUUUGCAGGCCCCUGCCCUCUCAUGCUCUGUUUACUGCAGGCAAUGAUUUGAGCUUAAUGGAAUGGGGAAGGGAUUCCGCUUUCAUGUGGUCGGGAGACCAAGGCCCACACAGAUCCCCGUGCAGUUUUACGGCCAGGCCGGGGGGGUUGGUAAAUUUGUCGAGGAGUGCCCUGCUCCCAACAGCUCGCUGGGAACAGGGCCUAUAAAUAGCUCCUGCCAGUCAAGGCAUAACGAUUUCAAUCUUCCUACUGUAUAAAUAAACAGUAUUGUUCAGGAAUUCUUGGCCGCAAUUUUGGCCCGCGCGUCCCGAAGAUGAUCCAGCUGGAAUUUUCGGCAAAGGCAAAGGAGCUGGCAUG